ACGAACGCUGGCGGCGUGCUUAACACAUGCAAGUCGAACGAUGAUCCGGUGCUUGCGCCGGGGAUUAGUGGCGAACGGGUGAGUAACACGUGAGUAACCUGCCCUGGACUCUGGGAUAACCCCGAGAAAUCGGAGCUAAUACCGGAUAGGACCUUGGACCGCAUGGUUCGGGGUGGAAAGUUUUUUCGGUUUGGGAUGGACUCGCGGCCUAUCAGCUUGUUGGUGAGGUAAUGGCUCACCAAGGCGUCGACGGGUAGCCGGCCUGGGAGGGUGACCGGCCACACUGGGACUGAGACACGGCCCAGACUCCUACGGGAGGCAGCAGUGGGGAAUAUUGGACAAUGGGCGGAAGCCUGAUCCAGCAACGCCGCGUGAGGGAUGACGGCCUUCGGGUUGUAAACCUCUUUCAGCACCGACGAAGCGAGAGUGACGGUAGGUGCAGAAGAAGGACCGGCCAACUACGU
rnacentral:rRNA from 1 species